AUAUUGUCCUGGUUCAUAGUCAUCACCACUGGGUUUUCAUGCCAUCGUGCAAGAUGUAGCUCCCUGAAACCUUGAGAUAAAGUCAGCAUGUCAUCACUCUGAUG